rnacentral:rRNA from 1 species
AGGACGAACGCUGGCGGCGUGCUUAACACAUGCAAGUCGAGCGGUAAGGCCUUUCGGGGUACACGAGCGGCGAACGGGUGAGUAACACGUGGGUGAUCUGCCCUGCACUUCGGGAUAAGCCUGGGAAACUGGGUCUAAUACCGGAUAUGACCUCAGGUUGCAUGACUUGGGGUGGAAAGAUUUAUCGGUGCAGGAUGGGCCCGCGGCCUAUCAGCUUGUUGGUGGGGUAAUGGCCUACCAAGGCGACGACGGGUAGCCGACCUGAGAGGGUGACCGGCCACACUGGGACUGAGACACGGCCCAGACUCCUACGGGAGGCAGCAGUGGGAAUAUUGCACAAUGGCGAAAGCCUGAUGCAGCGACGCCGCGUGAGGAUGACGGCUCGGUUGUAACUACUUCUAGCAGGACGAAGACGCAAGAGACGGUACCGUGCAGAAGAAGACACCGCAACGUACUGCACGCGAGCCGC